rnacentral:lncRNA from 1 species
UAUUUUUGGAGUCAAAGCUAUGCAAGUGGCAAUCAAUUGUUUCAGCAGUUUGCCAUUCUGAAAGUAAUUCAAUAUGGCUGUAGAUAUAUAUUCACCUAUCAUUGACCAAGUAGCCUUAAUGAACCUACUGCCAUAGCCAUCUGGCCCAGGGCUCUUGUUGCUCUCUAUCUGAAAUAUAAUAUAGUAGCUCUUUUAACCUCUUUUUUUCCUGGCCGAGGAUCUAUCGG